AAUCUGGAGACAGGUGCUGCAUGGCUGUCGUCAGCUCGUGUCGUGAGAUGUUGGGUUAAGUCCGCAACGAGCGCAACCCUUGCCUUUAGUUGCCAGCAGUUCGGCUGGGCACUCUAAAGGGACUGCCGGUGUUAAACCGGAGGAAGGUGGGGAUGACGUCAAGUCCUCAUGGCCCUUACGGCCUGGGCUACACACGUGCUACAAUGGUCGGUACAAAGGGUUGCCAAGCCGCGAGGUGGAGCUAAUCCCAUAAAACCGAUCGUAGUCCGGAUCGCAGUCUGCAACUCGACUGCGUGAAGUCGGAAUCGCUAGUAAUCGUGAAUCAGAAUGUCACGGUGAAUACGUUCCCGGGCCUU
rnacentral:rRNA from 1 species